rnacentral:rRNA from 1 species
UACAGAGGGUGCGAGCGUUAAUCGGAAUUACUGGGCGUAAAGCGUGCGUAGACGGUCAAGUAAGUCGGGUGUGAAAGCCCCGGGCUCAACCUGGGAAUUGCAUUCGAGACUGCGUGGCUAGGGUGCGGAAGAGGGAAGCGGAAUUUCCGGUGUAGCGGUGAAAUGCGUAGAUAUCAGGAGGAACACCGAUGGCGAAGGCAGGUCUCUGGGCUGACACUGACGCUCAUGCACGAAAGCGUGGGGAGC